rnacentral:tRNA from 1 species
AGGCCGGGAAUCGAACCCGGGCCGCACGCAUGGCAGGCGAGCAUUCUACCACUGAACCAC